CUGCGCACCAAGGCGCGCGACAGGGUGCGAUCCCCGCGCGAGUCGGCUUUCCCUCUGAUCUCUGAGUGGCGCUCGGCUGAGCGCUUCUGCUCAGACGCGGGAAUCAGCCGUUGGAGUGUGGGGGCGUCUGCUGCCGGUGAACCGAAACAGGAGCAUCGGUGGAGCCGUUGAACCCGUGGAUCCCGUCAGCGCGAUGAGGGAUGGUGGCCUGAGCUCUGGUCUGACCAUGGACUGAGACAUCCUCGGCCCGAUCAGGAUGGAGUGGACGCUGUCCUCCCAGAACCAGUACUGGAGCGGUGAUGACAGAACAAGACGUGUUCCUAGAGAACAGAAACAUCGAGCAAGAUUGAAUGCAAGUCUGCUUUCGUCAUCCAGCCUUCCUUCAAACUGGCGCUGGGCUUGUGCGCUGCUACGCUGCUGGCGGGAUGUUUAUCAAACAGCAGUAGAGCUGCUCGGAUCGGGACUCUUCUCUCGCUCCUUGAGGACGGAGAGGAGAUACGACAUGAGUGACUUUCACUACAGAGGAAGACACAGUGCUGACGGGCGGAGGGACAGGCCGAAGAGCGUCGGACCCAUGACAGAUCUCUCGUGUCCCGAGGUGGAGCGCGGCUCUCCUGUACAGAUGCAGAGCCUGCGGGAGUUUGAACAGG
ensembl:lncRNA